rnacentral:lncRNA from 10 species
GACGCAAAGGGCCAAGGCAUCAGAAACACUUGGUACCAGCUUCCACAGCAACAAUGAGAGGUAACCCCAGUGCUUCCACUACCAACAGGACAUUACCACUUGCAGGCAGAGAAACAGACAAGAAAAAUAGUGGAUGCCACAUAUUAGGACUCGUCUGAGACAUGAUGCAAGACUUUUUAGAAAGAAUUUGAGGAGUGAUAAAGCUAAAAUGAGACUCCCAGGGUAUGGCCCUCGUGCAAUAUGGCUGAUGUCCUUAUUAGAAGAGGAAGAGACACCAGGAAUGCAUGUGCACAGAAAAAAUGCCAUAAGAGGACAUAGCAAGAAGGCAACCAGCUGCAAGCCAAGACAGGCCUCAGGAGAAACCAAAUGUGCUGACAUCUUGAUCUUAGACUUAUAACAUCCACAACUGUGAGAAAAUGAACUUUUGUUAUUUAAGGCACCCAUUCUGUGGUACUUUCUUAUGAUAACCCUAUAGCAAUGCAAGAAUGGCCUAAUACAUCUAUAUUUAUAUUGGACAAAAUUGACUUUAAGCAAAAAAACAUAAAAAGAGACAAAGAAGGCCAUCAUAUAAUGAUAAAAGGGCCAAUUCAGCAAGAGGAUAUAAAAAUUCCAAAUAUGUAUAUAUAUGUACCCAGUAGUGGAAUACUUAGAUAUAUUAAAAAUGUCAUUAGAGGUAAAGAGAGAGAUACACCUCAACAUCAUGAUAACUGAGGGCUUCAAUACCCCACUUUCAGCAUUGAACAUUCAGCAUUCUAGGUAGAAAGCUAACAAAUAAUCAUCGAAUUUAAUCUGUACCGCAGACCAAAUAGACUUAACAGACAUUUACAGAACAUUUCAUCCAAUAGCAGUGGAGUACACAUUCUUCUCCUCAUCAGAUAGAACAUUCUCCAGGCUAGACCAUAUGUUAAGACACAAAACAAGUUUCAACAAAUUUUGAAAAAUCAACAUUAUAUCAAGUAUAUUCUAGACAAAAAUAGAAUAGAACUAGAAAUGAAUACUAGGAGGAACUUUGGAAACUAUACAGAUAACAUGGAAAUUAAACAACAUGCUUCUGAACAACCAUUGAGUCAAUGAGAAAAUUAAGAAGAAAAUAACAAAUGUUCUUGAAAUAAAUGCAAACGGAAACACAACAUACCAAAACCUAUGGAAUACAACAAAGACAGUGCUAAUAGAGAAUUUUAUAGCAAUAAAUGCCUACUGCAAGAACAUAGUAAGAUUAUGAACAAGCUACUAUGCACCUCAAGGAACAAGAAAAUCAAGAAAAAAUGAAAUCCAAACUAAGGAGAAGGAAAGAAAUAAUAAAAAUCAGAGCAGAACUCAGCGAAUUCGAGAUUUAAAAAAUGCAAAGAAUUAAUGAAACAAAAAGUUGACUUUUGGAAGAGAUAAACAGACUUUAUAAACUGCUAGCUAGACUAACCAAGAACAAAAGAGAGAAUGCCAAAUAAAUAAAAUCAGAAAUAAAACAGGAGACAUUACAACUGAUAUAAAAGAAACACAAUGGAUCAUUAAAGUCUGUUAUAAACAACCAUAUGGUAAAUAAUCCAUACGAUGAAAUUUUUUUUUACCAACACCAAUAAUCAAUCUAACUUUCCCAAAUUAAUUUUAAAAUCCACCAAUACUUUAUAAUAAAUACAUAUUAAACUGUGGUUUAUACCUGAGAUUUAGAUUAUCAAUUGACUUAUUUAUCGUUUCUGAGGCGCAUAUUACCUCAGAGCACGUUUUAAAAUGUAUUUCAAGAUUCCAUCAUUUAUAUAAUUAUACAGAAUUACACCUUUCCUCCAUGAAUGUUGGUGUUUUAUAUUUUUAUUGAGAUAGAAUUUACUAUAAAAUUCAUUCCUUUAGAGUGUUCCAUUUAGUGACUAUCAGUGGAUUCUUAAAGUGGGAUAUACUGAUGACCACUGAAUGAAGGAAUGAAGUACGAAUCUAUGCCACAACAUGGAUGAAUCUUGAAAACAUUAUGCUAAAUGAAAGAAGGCAGACAUGAAGGAUCACAUAAUUAUUAUUCUCUCCAUAGUAAAUGUCCAGAAUACGAAUAUACAUAGACACAAAAAUUAGAUCAGUGGUUGCUAAGGACUGGGAGGAGGAGAGAUUUCUUCUUGCGAUUAUAAACAUAUUCUGGAAUUAGAUAAUGGUGAGGGGUGCACAAUUUUAAGAAUACACUGAUAACCACUGAAUAGAACACUUUAAGGCAAUGAAUUUUAUGGUAAAUUGUAUCUCAAUAAAAAUAUAAAAAUCCCACUAACAUUCAUGGAGGAAAGGCAUAAUUAUUUAUAAUUAUAAAAAUAAGGGAAUCUUGAAUCAUGAAGUAUUAUAUAAAUGAGGGAAUCUUGAAUUGUGAAGUGUUAUUUAACUUGAUUUAGCCAUUUCUGUAAUGUAUACAUACUUCAAUCACGUCAUUUUGUAUAACCUCUUAUACAUAAUUUUUGCCAAUUCAAUAAAUUCAACAACUCCA